ACCCACUUUUUACCUCUCCAUCUUUGCCUUCCUCCUCCUCCUUUCCUCUGUUUCUUCUCCUCCUCUCCCUCUCGUUUUUUCUUUCUUCUCCAACUCUUCUCUUUCUAAUCAAAGAGACUUUGAACACAGAUCAAAUCUUUUAUAACUUAGUUUGUUCAAGCCACCUUUUUUUCCUUACUCGUUUUUCUUCUUCUUAAUUCUUACCCAAAGCCUACAGAAACCCACCCACCCCAGAAAAAUCCCCACACAAUCGAACCCCCAAUUUCAAGAUUCAGUUCUUUUAAAUCCCUUCUAAUUUUAUUUACAGACCCAAUGAGAAGCUGUAUUCUGAAAUUUGGAUCUUUUUGAAGGUGGUGGUGAGAAAUUGUGUUCUGAAAUUUGGAUCUUUUUGAUGAAGAGAGCUUCUCAGCAGAGAAGAGAGAGAGAAGGAAUAGAAACAAUAGAAUAAGAUUUGACAUGCCUGGUUCAUACGAUCAAAUUUGACAAUGUUAUGCUCAAGGUCAAAUCCAGGUCGGAAUUGACACAGCCACGUCGUAUUUGGCAUCUUCAAUGGAGGAACCAAAAGUUGUCAAAACUAGCUGUUGAGCCUCCACCCUGUCAUUUGACAGGGUGCUCGAUAUUACCUCGCUCGUGCGCGUGCUGCAAUAAAAUACAUCAUUCUGGCUAUCUUUGGUCCAUAUGGAUAAUAUCCUGGAAAAAUACAAGGAAGUCAAGCACAUGAUACUGUUUCUCGUAGAGAUGCUAGAGCCAUUCCUUGAUUCCGCUGUAGGCAGAUGCAAGGAUAAAAUAGGCAUUGGAGACCUAUCUUCUGCAUAUACAGAAAGCAGGAAUGGAAUUGUGCUGUUGCUAUUAAUGUGAUCUGUUCAGCAUUGCAGAAUCCAGCAGUUCUUCCUUCACUGGAAUCAGAAUGGAGGCGUGGAUCAGUUGCUUCUCGGUAA